UACAGAGGUCUCGAGCGUUGUUCGGAUUCAUUGGGCGUAAAGGGUGCGUAGGUGGCGGGGUAAGUCAGGUGUGAAAUCCCGGGGCUCAACCCCGGAACUGCAUUUGAUACUGCCUUGCUCGAGUACUGGAGAGGAGACUGGAAUUUACGGUGUAGCAGUGAAAUGCGUAGAUAUCGUAAGGAAGACCAGUGGCGAAGGCGAGUCUCUGGACAGUUACUGACACUGAGGCACGAAGGCCAAGGGAGCAAACGGG
rnacentral:rRNA from 1 species